AGAGUUUGAUCCUGGCUCAGAUUGAACGCUGGCGGCAUGCCUAACACAUGCAAGUCGAACGGAAACGAUGGGAGCUUGCUUCCAGGCGUCGAGUGGCGGACGGGUGAGUAAUACUUAGGAAUCUGCCCAUUAGUGGGGGACAACUCGAGGAAACUCGAGCUAAUACCGCAUACGCGCUGGGGGAUCUUCGGACCUCGCGCUCUAAGAUGAGCCUGCGUCGGAUUAGCUUGUUGGUGAGGUAAUGGCUCACCAAGGCUACGAUCCGUAGCUGGUUUGAGAGGACGGCCAGCCACACUGGGACUGAGACACGGCCCAGACUCCUACGGGAGGCAGCAGUGGGGAAUAUUGGACAAUGGGGGCAACCCUGAUCCAGCAAUGCCGCGUGUGUGAAGAAGGCCUGCGGGUUGUAAAGCACUUUCAGUAGAGAAGAAAAGGACUGUACCUACAAAAGAAGCACCGGCUAACUCCGUGCCAGCAGCCGCGGUAAUACGGAGGGUGCAAGCGUUAAUCGGAAUUACUGGGCGUAAAGAGCACGUAGGUGGUUUGGUAAGUUGGAUGUGAAAUCCCUGGGCUCAACCUGGGAAUUGCAUUCGAAACUGCCUCACUAGAGUUUAGCAGAGGGAUGGGGAAUUCCGGGUGUAGCGGUGAAAUGCGUAGAUAUCUGGAGGAACAUCAGUGGCGAAGGCGACUUGCUGGACUAAUACUGACACUGAGGUGCGAAAGCGUGGGUAGCAAACAGGAUUAGAUACCCUGGUAGUCCACGCCGUAAACGCUGUCAACUAGUCGUUGUGAGCAAUUAAGCUGUUAGUGGCGCAGCUAACGCAUUAAGUUGACCGCCUGGUGAGUACGGCCGCAAGGCUCAAACUCAAAGGAAUUGACGGGGGCCCGCACAAGCGGUGGAGCAUGUGGUUUAAUUCGAUGCAACGCGAAGAACCUUACCAGCCCUUGACAUCCUGUGAACUUUCUAGAAAUAGAUUGGUGCCUUCGGGAACACAGUGACAGGUGCUGCAUGGCGGUCGUCAGCUCGUGUCGUGAGAUGUUGGCUUAAGUCCCGCAACGAGCGCAACCCUUGUCCUUAGUUGCCAGCACGUAAUGGUGGGAACUCUAAGGAGACUGCCGGUGACAAACCGGAGGAAGGUGGGGACGACGUCAAGUCAUCAUGGCCCUUACGACCUGGGCUACACACGUGCUACAAUGGUCGGUACAGAGGGUUGCCAAGCCGCGAGGUGGAGCUAAUCCCAGAAAACCGAUCGUAGUCCGGAUUGGAGUCUGCAACUCGACUCCAUGAAGUAGGAAUCGAUAGUAAUCGUCGCGAAUCAAUGUCGCGGUGAAUACGUUCCCGGGCCUUGUACACACCGCCCGUCACACCAUGGGAGUGGGUUGCAAAAGAAGUGGGUAGACUAACCUUCGGGAGGUCGCUCACCACUUUGUGAUUCAUGAAUGGGCUGAAGUCGAAACAAGGUAGCC
rnacentral:rRNA from 1 species